UCACCGUCCUUCGCGGUCACCCUACCUUC
rnacentral:sRNA from 1 species